UAAAGGGACGCUGAAGGAGUGUCUGGGGUUGGCCCGAAGAAAAGGGGAGUGAGGUGCAGGUAAAGAGGACACCAAGGUACGAGGAGAAGACAAAACAACCCUGAGGCUUGGAGGAAAGCCUAGGUCCCUGGACUUAUUGGAGGAGAGCCAGUGAAGUGAUGGAGGAGGCCACUCUGUCAGUGGGUCCAGUCCUGAGGAGUGAAGAGAACUGCUUCGGGACCCUGGAAUCAAGAAGCGAUGUGGAUGAGAUUAUACCUCCAGGAGAAGCAAGUCCACCCUGACCCUGAAGCGAGAUCUAAGCAACUCCUAUGAAACCAAUGUUUCUGAAAAUUUAAGGCACACAAGGAAUAAAUCUCCUAACUAAAGCCCAG